AUUGAACGCUGGCGGCAGGCCUAACACAUGCAAGUCGAACGAGUGGCGGACGGGUGAGUAAUGUAUGGGAAACUGCCUGAUGGAGGGGGAUAACUACUGGAAACGGUAGCUAAUACCGCAUACAAUCAGAUGUGCCCAGAUGGGAUUAGUGUGUUGGUGGGGUAACGGCUCACCAAGGCGACGAUCCCUAGCAGGGCUGAGAGGAUGACCAGCCACACUGGAACUGAGACACGGUCCAUACUCCUACGGGAGGUAGCAGUGGGUAAUAUUGCACAAUGGGCGAAAGCCUGAUGCAGCCAUGCCGCGUGUAUGAAGAAGGCCUUCGGGUGGUAAAGUACUUUCAGCGGGGAGGCGUUACCCGCAGAAGAAGCACCGGCUAACUCCGUGCCAGCCGCCGCGGUAAUUC
rnacentral:rRNA from 1 species